rnacentral:rRNA from 1 species
UACGUAGGGUGCAAGCGUUGUCCGGAAUUAUUGGGCGUAAAGAGCUCGUAGGCGGUUUGUCGCGUCUGCUGUGAAAACCCGAGGCUCAACCUCGGGCCUGCAGUGGGUACGGGCAGACUAGAGUGCGGUAGGGGAGAUUGGAAUUCCUGGUGUAGCGGUGGAAUGCGCAGAUAUCAGGAGGAACACCAAUGGCGAAGGCAGAUCUCUGGGCCGAUACUGACGCUGAGGAGCGAAAGCAUGGGUAGCGAACAGG